rnacentral:pre_miRNA from 1 species
UGAGGUAGUAGGUUGUAUAGUUUGGGGUGCUGCCCUGCUUUCGGAUAACUAUACAACCUACUGUCUUUC